UUUAUACAACGAAGAGUUUGAUCCUGGCUCAGGAUGAACGCUAGCGACAGGCCUAACACAUGCAAGUCGAGGGGUAACAUUUCAGCUUGCUGAAGAUGACGACCGGCGCACGGGUGAG
rnacentral:rRNA from 1 species